rnacentral:snoRNA from 1 species
AAACCAUGGUGUGGGCAUUGAGCUUUGUAGCCCUUGAAUCUCUCCCACGCUUCGCUGAAGCCUUCCAAGUGGAGACUGCUCUCUAAGAAU